CCUACGGUGAGCAGCAGUCGAGAAUCAUUCACAAUGGGGGAAACCCUGAUGGUGCGACGCCGCGUGGGGGAAUGAAGGUCUUCGGAUUGUAAACCCCUGUCAUGUGGGAGCAAAUUAAAAAGAUAGUACCACAAGAGGAAGAGACGGCUAACUCUGUGCCAGCAGCCGCGGUAAUACAGAGGUCUCAAGCGUUGUUCGGAAUCACUGGGCGUAAAGCGUGCGUCGGCUGUUUCGUAAGUCGUGUGUGAAAGGCGCGGGCUCAACCCGCGGACGGCACAUGAUACUGCGUGACUAGAGUAAUGGAGGGGGAACCGGAAUUCUCGGUGUAGCAGUGAAAUGCGUAGAUAUGGAGAGGAACACUCGUGGCGAAGGCGGGUUCCUGGACAUUAACUGACGCUGAGGCACGAAGGCCAGGGGAGCGAAAGGGAUUAGAUACCCGGGUAGUC
rnacentral:rRNA from 1 species